rnacentral:rRNA from 1 species
UGAGCAAUCUGCCCUUCUCUUUGGAAUAAGCGUUGGAAACGACGUCUAAUGCCGAAUACGACCUCCUUUCGCAUGAUCGGAGGUGGAAAGCUCCGGCGGAGAAGGAUGAGCUCGCGGCCUAUCAGCUAGUUGGUGUGGGUAAUGGCCCACCAAGGCGACGACGGGUAGCCGGCCUGAGAGGGUGACCGGCCACACUGGGACUGAGACACGGCCCAGACCUCCGUACGGGAGNAGCG